GUUUUAGGAUGUCAUCAUUUUGAUGUGAAUCAUGUAAAUGUUGAUAAUAUGCUGUUUAUUAUACAUUUAGUGUUUCAAGAGAUUCACUUAAUUGCCUUUUUGCCCACUUACAUUAUGUAGUCUAUUUGCAACUGUUUUUUAAAAAAAUGACAUUAAAAGAAUACUUUAUGUAGAGAAACAUUAGUGGAUGUUAAUUGUCUCCCCACCUAUAUUUAUGGGUGUUAGCGCAACUGCUUUGCUAGUUGCAAAGCUGUAUUAUCAGAGUAAAAGUGUAUUUGUAAACUGUAUGGGAACUAAAAAUUAGGAAUAAAACCAUUUUCUUAU
rnacentral:lncRNA from 1 species